UUGGUAUGUUUCCGGUGGUUGGCUCUCUGCUUUUGCAACAACUUCCACCUGGCAUUCCUUCUCAGGUUUGCGUUAGGGUUGUCCCUUGCGUGCUUUUGGUUAGCUGUGUUGCCUACCUGUGUGACGGUAUUGUUGGAUAAUAUGUCUUGUCUUAUCUUCGCGUCGUACGUCGCGUGGGAUAAGCCUUAAAGUAGAUUCUGUGAUCCACCUUGUUGAUGCGCACGCGUCGAUGUCGUGGCUUAUUGAGUUUUGCUUGUUGUCUUGAAUACAGAACAUGAUAUGGGCUUGGGUCUCAUGCGGACCUUCUUUGCCCUUGUUGAACGUUAUCACAUCUCUAAGAUGACCGCCUAGCCCGAAUUGGCUCGUACCACCGGGUAGGUGAUGUUGUUAAAGAGAAAAUGCUAGCGUUCUUGCUUCUCUAAAACGAACGGCCUCGCCUGCAUGGGCUUGUACCAGCGGGUGGGCUAUGUCGAAGAGGGAUGCUACCUGGUUGAUCCUGCCAGUAGUCAUAUGCUUGUCUCAA
rnacentral:misc_RNA from 1 species